ACUUUGGUUUCGGCCAAAGUUAGUGGCGAACGGGUGAGUAAUACAUAUCUAACAUGCCCCUCUGUAGGGAAUAGCCACUUGAAAAGGUGAUUAAUACCCUAUAGGUAACUUUCUCACAAGAGUUAGUUAUUAAAGCUUUAUGCGCUGAGGGAUUGGGAUAUGCUCUAUUAGCUUGUUGGCGGGGUAAAAGCCCACCAAGGCUAUGAUAGAUAGCUGGUCUUAGAGGAUGAACAGCCACAAUGGGAUUGAGAUACGGCCCAUAUUCCUACGGGAAGCAGCAGUAGGGAAUCUUCCACAAUGGACGAAAGUCUGAUGGAGCAAUACCAUGUGAACGAUGAAGGUCUUUUUGAUUGUAAAGUUCUUUUAUGAGGGAUAACAACUGAUAGUACCUCAUGAAUAAGUGACAGCAAACUAUGUGCCAGCAGCUGCGGUAAUACAUAGGUCGCAAGCAUUAUUCGGAUUUAUUGGGCGUAAAGCAAGCGCAGGCGGAUGUGUAAGUUCUGUGUUAAAAGUAGCUACUUAAUAGUUGUUUGCACCGAAUACUACAUGUCUAGAAUGUGGUAGGAAGUUUUGGAAUUAAACAUGGAGCGGUGGAAUGUGUAGAUAUGUUUAAGAACACCGGAGGCGAAGGCGAAAACUUAGGCCAUAAUUGACGCUUAGGCUUGAAAGUGUGGGGAGCAAAUGGGAUUAGAUACCCCAGUAGUCCACACCGUAAACGAUGGGUAUUAGGUAUUGGGGUUUGAGCCUCAGUGCUGUAGCUAACGUGUUAAAUACCCCGCCUGGGUAGUACAUAUGCAAAUAUGAAAC
rnacentral:rRNA from 1 species